GGACCCUGCGCUCUGCCCCGAGGGACCCACCAGCCACGUAGCAAUGGGGCAGGAUGGAUAAUCCUCUCACUGAGGGGAUGGUGAAUAACUGGAAACAGUGACCAAUCUGCUGCCGUUCACCAUCUUGGUUGCAAAUAUCACUCCCGUCUCUUGCAUGGGCGUGGUGGAUUGGAGAUGGCUGCAGAUUCUUAGUCAUUACUCUCAGCAAGACCUGGAGUCUUUUCCUCCUCCCCUUGGAUCUGGGCUGACUCCAGGACUGGCUUUCAUCAACAGGAUGCAGCAGAAGCGACGCUGUGUGACUUCCGAGGCUGAGGCUGCAGAGAUUUGAGGCAUCUGCUCUCACCCAGCUUGAAGUGCUUCCUCUUGGAAGCCAGCCACCGUGAAAAACCCCGCCAUGCUGUGAGGAAGCCCAAGAGAGCUGCAUGGAGAGAAGGGCCUGUGGAAGAGCCCUGAGGUGCCACUCACAUGAAGUGAACCUUUGUGGACCUUCCAGCCCAGCUACCAGCAAAACGCAAGCAGCGAGUGUCCCCAGUCAACGCUUCUCUCUAUAGGAGACCUGUAAAUGGGGUGGCGGGGGGAGCAGGAGGAAUUUUCUGAUCUCACACACUGUUAUGAGUUGAAUUGUCUCCCCACCCAAAUUCAUAUGUUGAAGCCCCCACCUUCAGUACUUUACAAAGUAAUGUAUUUGGAGAUAAGCUCCAGGCCCAGCCUGCUUUUAACAAGACAGUGAAGAGUGGCAGUUAAAGGUCUGGCUGGCAUCAGACAGUGCUGAAUUCAAACACCAGCUGAGCUGAAAACGGCCUGACUGGGUGACCUUGAGCAAGCAGCCUGCCCUCUCUGAGGCUCAGUUUAUUUUCUGGAAGGGAGAAGACGGUGUCUACUUCCAAUGACCGCCAUGAUGUUUCAGGUUCAGCCCGAAGGGUGAGCAGCCAAUAAAGAGUGCCGAGAACGGCCUCUGGCCUGCCAGGUAGAGAAAUGACCUGAUUCCUUCCAGAAGUUUCCAGUGUUCCCAAGCUGAUGAGGCUCCUGGGAGAUGCCUCCAGAUCUCUUAACGUUCAGGGAAGCAUGGGCUCUGGUUGCAUUAGGGAGGAUUUAUUUUAUUUUUAAAGGAGUUGAGGCCACUUUGCAAUCAGAGCCUUCGUGGCUGGAGCUGGGCGAGCUGAGGAAGGAGUAUUAAUCAAGGCGCUUUAAGGACAUGCAAAUCAGGAGAAAGCUCAAGUGAUUAGGGUGUGAUGGGGCCUGGAGUCCAGCCUAUAUCCCCAUCUGAGAAGAGAGAGCCAGAGUGCCAGGCAAGGUGGCUCAGGCCCAGCUGGGGGCGGCAGCCAAGGGGCUGCCAUGGGGCCAGGAACUGUGGGUUGGGAGCAAUUGGAGGCAGAGGGAAGGGAGCCACUCCAAGGUGGCUGAAGGGUCCCUGAUGCCUGCGCUGUCCACAUGGUACUCUGGCUGGCUUCCCCGCCUCCCCCACAGCUGCAGAGGGGCUGCUCUGGCAUGAUCCCCUGCCUGGCUGGGACAGGCCCCUCUUCCUAAGGAUACAGAAUGGUUAUUUGGGUGAGAGGGGCCCACCGGCGCUGCUGGGGGCGGGAUGGCGAAUGUGACGUCAGCGAUCUGCGGUAUCUUCAGGGUGACAGCCGUACCCCCCGCGUGGGACCCAGGGCUCCACAUCUAUAGACCUGACCCAAGGAAAGACUCAGGCCUGUGCACAAGGAUGCCAUCUCGGGGACUGCGUAUUCAUAAGAAGCUGAAUCAAACAGUGUCCAACAAGGGGGGUUGUUCGAGCUGGUUAUGGGACGUGUUUACCACGGACGUUCAGGUCCUCCUGAGAAAUGACGACCUAGACAUGGGAAGAUGGUUGCAAUGUAUUGUUCCGCAAAGGAGAAAAAAAGCAGGUUGCAAAACCCUGGGAACUGUCUGCCCACCUUCAAAAAGUCGGUCAUAUAUCUAGAAAAAUCUGGAAGGGUAGCCACAAAAACAUCAUCAGUAGGUACUUUGGAGAGGUUAUUGUUACUUUCCCCUUUUAUGUUAAUUUUUGUGCAAUAAACAUAUAUGUAUUUGUA
rnacentral:lncRNA from 10 species